CCUUCGCAUUUUGAAUUGGGUCGACGCCCAAGCCAACCUGCCUUUCCGGGCAAGGUGGAUCGCGAAAGCGGAUGUGGCUCCUGAGCGAGCAAGCAAACGGAUAACG
rnacentral:ncRNA from 2 species